rnacentral:rRNA from 1 species
UGAGGAAUAUUGGUCAAUGGGCGCGAGCCUGAACCAGCCAAGUAGCGUGAAGGAUGAAGGUCCUAUGGAUUGUAAACUUCUUUUAUAGCAGAAUAAAGUGACCCACGUGUGGGUUUUUGUAUGUAUGCUAUGAAUAAGGAUCGGCUAACUCCGUGCCAGCAGCCGCGGUAAUACGGAGGAUCCGAGCGGUAUCCGGAUUUAUUGGGUUUAAAGGGUGCGUAGGCGGAAAGAUAAGUCAGCCUGUGAAAGUUUGCGGCUCAACCGUAAAAUUGCAGUUGAUACUGUUUUUCUUGAGUGUACAUAAGNUAGACGGAAUUCGUGGUGUAGCGGUGAAAUGCUUAGAUAUCACGAAGAACUCCGAUUGCGAAGGCAGCUUACCGGGGUACAACUGACGCUGAUGCACGAAAGUGUGGGUAUCAAACA